CUUAACAAGGCUCUCAGUCUUUAUUUUAUUUUAUUUUGGUUUUUAGAAACAACGUUUCUCUGUGUAGCCCUGGCUGUUCUGGAACUAGCUCUGUAGAUGAGCAUGGCCUUGAACUCAAGAGAUCCACCUGCCUCUGCUUCCCAAGUGCUUCGAUUAAAGGCAUGCGCCACCACUGCCUGGCCUCAGAUAGUCUUAAAAUAACUUGAAUAGCUUCAACUUUAUGCAUCCUUAAAUACAGAUAAUAAGAAGCAGAUAUAAACUUUAUUUGUUAUGCACAAAACCACAAAGAUUUGUCUAAGCAGUUCAUUUAACAAGUUUGUAGCCUGGCGCUGGACAUGGUGGCACACUGGGGAGGCAGAGGCAGACAGAUCUUUUUGAAUUUAUGACCAACCUCUUUUUCACUUUUUUUUUUAAGAUUUAUUUAUUUAUUAUGUAUACAGCAUGUAUGACUGCAGGCCAGAAGAGAGUACCAGAUCUCAUUAUAGAUGGUUGUGAGCCACCAUGUGGUUGCUGGGAAUUGAACUCAGGACCUCUGGAAAAGCACUCAGUGCUCUUAACCUCUGAGCCAUCUCUCCAGCCCGAAUUUAUGACCAACCUGAUCCACACAGUCAGUUCCAGGCCAGCCUGGGCUACCCUGAUACCAUGUCUUAAAAUAAAGUAUGUAUUUUAAUAAUCCCUUUAGAGUGAUAACAGAUCUACUAAAAUACAAUACAAAUAUAAUAUUGUGAUGGCUAAUCUUGGCUGUCACCUUGACUGUAUCUGUAAUCAACUGAAAUCUAAGCAGCUGGGCGCGCUAGUGAGAGACUUUCCUGACCAGAUCAUCUGAGGUGGGCAGACCCACCCUAAAUCUGGGCCACAACUUCUGGUGGCAGUCCACUAAAAAGACACAGGAGAAAGCAGCUUUGCGCUUGGCCUGCCUGCCCUCACUCUCACUGGCAAGCUCAUCCUUCCUGCUGCUGAGGUGUUCCUUCACCUGUGUUAGAACCCACUUCUUCAGGAUCCCAAAGUUGGCUGACUUAAGACCAGCAGCUCUCUAGGAAUUCCCUGCACUCCAGCUCGAGACGGCGACUGCAUGUGAACUGAACCUGACUUGAAGACAGCCAUUGUUGGGGUAUCUGGACCACAACCAGUAAACCUCACUAAUAAAUGUAUGUAUGUGUGUGUGUUCAUUCUAGUGGUUCUACUCCUUUAUAAACACAAGAAAAAAAGAAAAGAAUGAAGCGGUAAUAUCACUUUCUGAAAAAAACACUAAAUCUAUAUAUCCAACUAAAGUAAGUUAGAACAAUUACAACACUUUCUACUUAGAUAUGGCUGAAUUUAUACAUUAAUUUGGAUUUUCUACUAAGAUGUAUGUUCAUACAGUGACCUUAGGGCUAGAUGUAUCAGAGAAACUUGUUUAUUAAUACAGUCUACAGAAGUUCUCGUUUUAUCAAACAGUACAAUCUCUUGGCUUCAUCUCAAAGCAUAAAAUGUGCAUGUUUUCUUAUUCUAAUGUUUGGAAACUAAACUGCAGAUUAUAUAGGAUUAUAGGAUCAAAUAAUAUGUUGAAUAUCUUGACGAAACCAGUAAUAUACAUUCCUUAAAUGGAAUCAUAGGUGGCCUCUUAUCGAUGAAACCACAGAAUGCUGAACCCCAUAAUUAACUCUGGAUGCUGCCACCUCUUAGACAUACCGGAAGCUGUGAAUGCCUUGAAGCUCCUGCUGCAGAACCUCUUGAGUUGUUGCUAUCAAGUCCAAUGCUCCAACAAAUUCAGAAGUAGAUAAUAACACCUGCACUGUAGGCUGAGUUUGGUGCACAGUGGCCAUUAACUUCAGUUUACUGUAUACUUUAACACAAUUAUUUCUGUUAUGAAAAAAGGAAUACACAUGGUUCUUCCCCACAAGUCUGCUCAGGCUCCCUAGUCUCUUCCUCAAUUCCUAUGGAGAACUGGACCCAGCUGAUUGAACAGUCUUCUUGAGGCUUUCAGAGGCCAAGUAAGGCCACAAGCAUGAAAUAAAUGUCCUUAAGGAUCA